rnacentral:rRNA from 1 species
AACGAACGCUGGCGGCAGGCCUAAAACAUGCAAGUCGAACGAACCUUCGGGUUAGUGGCGCACGGGUGAGUAACGCGUGGGAAUGUACCUUUUGGUGCGGAAUAACGUAGGGAAACUUACGCUAAUACCGCAUAAUAUCUUCGGAUCAAAGAUUUAUCGCCAAGAGAUCAGCCCGCGUUAGAUUAGGUAGUUGGUAGGGUAAUGGCCUACCAAGCCUACGAUCUAUAGCUGGUCUGAGAGGAUGAUCAGCCACACUGGAACUGAGACACGGUCCAGACUCCUACGGGAGGCAGCAGUGGGGAAUUUUGGACAAUGGACGCAAGUCUGAUGCAGCAACGCCGCGUGAGGGACG